rnacentral:lncRNA from 1 species
GUAUAGUCUUAAUCAUAAAACUACAAGUAUUAUCUGGAAGCGCACAUGACAUUAAGCUAUAGUGAUAUUAUCAGGGAUAUUUUUAUUAAUGACUUAGCUGAAUAUACUUUACUCAGGAUUGCUGAGUUGGAUGGCAAAUGAUCUGACUCCAACUCUCAACUCCGGGCAGUUUAAAAAUCUGACUUUGACUCCACCCAAAAACCUCAGACUCUGCAACCCUGCUUUUAUUCAUUAUCUACAGCACUUCUGCUAUCUUAAGCUUUUCUGGGAGAUUUUAUUUUUAUUACAGGCUUGUUCUUUGUUAGAAAUUACUCAUAAAAUAUAUAUUUUGUAAUACAUUAAUA